UGGGAUAGGGGACAUGGAGAACACCUUUACAGAGCUGCUUCUCUGGCCCUUGGUACAGAUGAAGCCCAGCUCUGCUCUUCUCCAACCAGGCAGGAGUCUGACCCUCUGUUUCCUGUGCUGGGGAGCCCCUCGCAGCUCAGGAGUGCUGCAUGCCGGGCAGAGCUGGGCUGCUGGGGCAUGCAUAGGGCUGUGCCUGCUGAAGCAGGGCCAGGGCAAAGGUUUCUUUCGCUCUCCGCGUGUUUGGCGCUGACCUGGCAUGGGAGGUGUGGGGUGGAAGGUGGUGAGGAAGGGGAAGGGGCCGUGGCUGGGGAAGCUGUGCCGUGCUGGUGUGUCCCUGUUGGGCUCACAGUGUGGGUGAAAUGGGCAAGUCAGGGCUGAUCUCACCUCCUGGGUGUGCCCGGCUCUGCAUGCUCAUGUGUUGGGAUGGGCUGUGGGGAUUUGCCACAGUCCCUCACUGGAACCCUGGUGAGCAGCCUCAUUCUGCUGGGGGGCAUGGAGCAGGUGACAUGAAAGAGGAUGGUCACCCUCACCUGCAUGCCCCUCGGGGAUGCUGCACCACCUGCAGUGGUGAGCAGGGACCAUGGGAUAGGGUGCUUUGCCAUGGUGGGGCACUGGGGGGGGGUAUUUGGCUGACAGAAUUUGGGAGGCAAAUCACAGGCAUCCUGUCUGAUGAAACCCUGUUUGCAGGGAGCCUGAGCUGCCCCUGUGCUCUGCCGGCUGCCCUGCAUGGACGCUGGGAUGCAGAAUGGGGCUGAGGCAUCACUGGAGGGAUGCCUGAUGGCUGAGGAGCUGGAGGAGAAGCAGCGCCCGGUGGCGCAGUGGACGGUGGCCGAGGCUGGCGCCUGGCUGGCGGCACGCAGCGGGGCCGGGGAGCUGGUGGAGCUGGCACAUGAGCACGAUGUCUCGGGCCGGGUCCUGCUGCGGCUGACGGAGGGGACCCUGCGGCGCAUGGGGGUGACCCCGCGGAGCCGGCGCCGGGACCUGCUGCGGGAGCUGCUGCAACUGCGGCUACAGCAGGAACUCGAGGAGCUGCUGAGCACCGUUGGCAGUGAGCAUCCCCACGCCACAUGUGGGUUGGGGGGGGCAUUGGUUCCCUGGGUGAAUGCUGGUCAUUGUCACCUCUCCUCAGAGUGAAGACAGUGUCACUGCGGAUGUCCUGGAGACUGCAGGAGGACAGAUGGUGCCAUGGGAGGACAAAGCAGUACCUAGGACUGAGCACUUGAUGCAGGAGCAGUGCUGGAGGAAGCCUUGAGGUGACUUUGUCUCCCCUGGAGAAGCCCAAAGCUGGCUGGAAGAGGUGGCCACAGGGCCCCAGGUGGCACAAGUUGAAGGGUGGCUGCUGGCUCCCAGGGCGUCCUCUUGGCUCUGGCACGAUGGGGCACUCUACCAGCCCUCCCCCCGUCUCCGAUCCUGCUGCAACCAUGAAGCAGCCUGGCCUCAGGAGUGAUCCUCCAGUCUGUCUGUGGCGUAGGGCAUAGGGGGACAAGUUCCCAAGUUGCUGUGUAGAGGAACCUGUCUCCUUGGUGCCCUGGGGCUGGCAGGAGCAGGGCAGCAGAGCCCAGAACAGAACUGGUCUUAAUAAACAUUGUCCUGGUAAGUCCAGAGGGGUCCCCACUCUGAGGACCUUGAAAAGGGCUGAAAGCCCAAACCCAGCCACCACAGCCCAGGACAGGGAGUCUGCAGCCUCCUCUGCCCUGGUAUUUUUCUGGCCCUAAACUUCUGCACCGGUGCAAAGGGCCGGCCGUGAGCUGCAGGGCAGGAUCCAUCCCCAGGACCCGAUUCUCCAGAGAAGAAGAGUGGGGCAAGCAGUCCUUCCUCCCACACUACCCUGCUGUGGUCUCCCGAGUCUCAUGUGGUCCAAGGGUCUGGCUGCAUCCUGUUGACCCCUGUGGUCGGGCACCCUGAAUCCUGGUACUGGCACUAUCUGUGCCUGCUUGCUGUGCUGGAAAAUGUGGUGGGAGCUGAGCAGGCAGCCCUGUUGAGCCGAGGGACAGGAAACAGUUUGUUUUCUGCUUAUUUUAGCGCAGAUCAUGGGCAGAUUGAGAGUUUACUUUUUUUUUCACCUAGCUUGCGAAACAGGCAUUGUUUCCCAGAAAUAAAAUCCCUUCCUGGAAAGGGCUCAGACAGCCCACAGAACUGAAUUGGCUCCUCAGGCUCAUGUGUUUUCACACAAAAAGCCUCACUUCUCUUUUCCUAGGUGAAGACUUUAUCCUCUAAACAUCUCUUGAAGAUGGAGGAUGCCAAGAGGUGCUGCUCUGGCAAGUCUUCCUGCAGGAACCAGC
ensembl:lncRNA